ensembl:lncRNA
GACCCACUAGAGGCCGGGGACGUGGACUGGGACCCACUAGAGGCCGGGGACGUGGACUGGGACCCACUAGAGGCCGGGGACGUGGACUGGGACCCACUAGAGGCCGGGGACGUGGACUGGGACCCACUAGAGGCCGGGGACGUGGACGAAGAUGUAGGCGUUCUGUAGGCCGGCGACGAAGAUGUUCUGGAGGCUGGCGACGAAGAUGAAGGCGCUCUGGAGGCCGGCGACGAAGGCGCUCUGGAGGCCGGCGACGAAGGCGCUCUGGAGGCGCUGGAGGUGUUUCUCACAGUAAGAGGCCACACAGACCAGACAGGAGUUGUGGGCUUUCCGUUUCCUCCCAGUGCAGACAUCACAGGCCACAUCUUCAGGUCCAGCAUAGCAGAGAUCAGCAGGAGCAGCUUGGAGUCCAGUCUUCUUCAGCUCCUCAAGUAAAUCCGCUAACAUGGUGUUUUUCACCAGGACAGGCCUCGGUGUGAAGCUCUGCCUACACUGAGGGCAGCUGUGGGUUUUCUUCUCAUCCUCUGUGUCCCAGUAGCUUUGAAUACAGUUCAUGCAGUAGCUGUGUCCACAGGGAAUAGUCACCGGAUCCUUCAGUAGAUCCGAACAGACGGAACAGCAGAAUUUUGCUCGGUCCAGCUGAUUGUUUUGCUGCGCCAUUUCACCUCUGAGUGUCAAUGACUGUCUGAGAUUCACUUCCUGAUAACUGAAACUGGUCUGAGCUCUGAUCUGCACAACAGGUGUUUCUGCAGUGAACGGGGCUUGUCAGGUCUCUCACUUCAUGGUUACACCCAUUUUCAAAGUGCAGAUCUGAAGGGGAGGGAACAAGAAAAUAUAGUGACAGAGUGGAGCUGCUGUGUUUGAGAGCAGGAAGGAGAGGCAGCAGUUAUCAAAGGUUCAACUUUUAUUGCCAUUAUAUAAUACAGGAUUGCCCAGUAACAUACAGUGGUUGUGUGUCCACUCACACACACAGAAACAGUUUACACAGAUAUUCAGAUGGCUAUAUGUUGUAUAUGUUAUAUUAAAACAAUCUAUUCAUCAUUUAUCAUCAUAACAUGCCUUCUAAUACGAAAAACACAUUUACAGUCCUUUUCCUUGAUGAAGUCGGUUUAGUUACACUGAUACCACUUGUACCAUGUAUUUCAAAACUCAGAAAAUAUUAAGGAUACAUAAGAUGUAAUGUGAGUGUCCUUAGAAGUCUAAUAGAGUAAAUUUUAUAAUGGGAUUUUAGCAUUUACAGACAGUGGUACAUUCAAACACAUCAAUAUAUUAUCCAUGAUCCAAGAAAAUUACUUCGGAGUCAUUGAAGGGGUACUGAUGGAUUUACUCAGAUGAUAAUUUUAUUCCCAAAAGGUGUGUUGCAUCAGAUACUUUCCUGUGUUACUACAGGAAGCAGUGUGCCCUACAGGAAGAGUGGAGGUGAAUGGUGAGUGUGUAGUGAAUCAGACUAUUCAGGAGAUGAGAGUUUGAGUCUGGCCACAAACGUAUAAUUACAGAAUAAUCCACAGUCUUGUAGAAUUCUCUCAUCUUGACAUUCUUGUGUGGUGAUAGAAUUCACAUUGUUUUGUUCAAUCUGGUCUCAGAGCAGUUUGUGAAGUAGUCACAAAAUGUAAUCUUAAGAAACUCAGCACAAGAUUCACAAGGAAAUUCAUAUAGAUUGAAUUACUAUUCAGGAUCUUUUCAGUUGAAAACUGAGCUGAAAAGAUGUUUCACUAGCAAGGACCACAC